rnacentral:rRNA from 1 species
UACGAAGGGUGCAAACGUUGCUCGGAAUCACUGGGCGUAAAGGGUGCGUAGGCGGGUCUUUAAGUCAGGGGUGAAAUCCUGGAGCUCAACUCCAGAACUGCCUUUGAUACUGAGGAUCUUGAGUUCGGGAGAGGUGAGUGGAACUGCGAGUGUAGAGGUGAAAUUCGUAGAUAUUCGCAAGAACACCAGUGGCGAAGGCGGCUCACUGGCCCGAUACUGACGCUGAGGCACGAAAGCGUGGGGAGCAAACAGG